AUCCGUAGAUAUCACUAGGAAUAUCAAAAGCGAAGGCGAUCUGCUGGGAUGAUACUGACGCUGAGGCACGAAAGCGUGGGGAGCAAACAGGAUUAGAUACCCUGGUAGUCCACGCCCUAAACGAUGAAUGCUAGUCGUCGGGGUACUCGUUACUUCGGUGAUGCACUUAACAGAUUAAGCAUUCCGCCUGGGGAGUACGGUCGCAAGAUUAAAACUCAAAGGAAUAGACGGGGACCCGCACAAGUGGUGGAGCAUAUGGUUUAAUUCGAAGAUACACGAAGAACCUUACCUGGCCUUGACAUGGUAGGAACCCUUAAGAGAUUAGGGGGUGCUAGCUUGCUAGAACCUACACACAGGUGCUGCACGGCUGUCGUCAGCUCGUGUCGUGAGAUGUUGGGUUAAGUCCCGCAACGAGCGCAACCCUCGUCCUUAGUUGCUAACAGUUUGGCUGAGCACUCUAAGGAGACUGCCUUCGCAAGGAGGAGGAAGGUGAGGACGACGUCAAGUCAUCAUGGCCCUUACGGCCAGGGCUACACACGUGCUACAAUGGGGCGUACAAAGAGCUGCAAUACCGCGAGGUGGAGCCAAUCUCUUAAAGCGUCUCUCAGUUCGGAUUGUUCUCUGCAACUCGAGAACAUGAAGCUGGAAUCACUAGUAAUCGUAGAUCAGCUAUGCUACGGUGAAUACGUUCCCGGGUCUUGUACUCACCGCCCGUCACACCAUGGGAGUUGAUUUCACCCGAAAUCGGGAUGCCAAACUGGCUACCGCUUACGGUGGAAUUAGCGACUGGGGUGAAGUCGUAACAAGGUAACC
rnacentral:rRNA from 1 species